AGAGUUUGAUCCUGGCUCAGAUUGAACGCUGGCGGCAUGCCUUACACAUGCAAGUCGAACGGUAACAGGCCGCAAGGUGCUGACGAGUGGCGAACGGGUGAGUAAUGCAUCGGAACGUGCCCAGUAGUGGGGGAUAGCCCGGCGAAAGCCGGAUUAAUACCGCAUACGACCUACGGGUGAAAGCGGGGGACCGAAAGGCCUCGCGCUAUUGGAGCGGCCGAUGUCAGAUUAGGUAGUUGGUGGGGUAAAGGCCUACCAAGCCUACGAUCUGUAGCUGGUCUGAGAGGACGACCAGCCACACUGGGACUGAGACACGGCCCAGACUCCUACGGGAGGCAGCAGUGGGGAAUUUUGGACAAUGGGCGCAAGCCUGAUCCAGCCGUGCCGCGUGCGGGAAGAAGGCCUUCGGGUUGUAAACCGCUUUUGUCAGGGAAGAAAUCUUCUGGGUUAAUACCUCGGGAGGAUGACGGUACCUGAAGAAUAAGCACCGGCUAACUACGUGCCAGCAGCCGCGGUAAU
rnacentral:rRNA from 1 species